CAAAAAGUGUGCAUACUUUUCUGGUAGACUUACAGGGCAGGAUCCAAACUAACUUGUUUCAUUUAUUUCAAAGGUACUUAAUAUGGAUCCUUAGCUGAAUUUGUACAAAUGUGUAUUGUUCCUAGGUUGUCAUGUUUGGAGAUCUGUAAGUACUGGCUGGAAGGCUGAAGGCAUAUUAGCCUGGAAGAUGCACUUCUAAAAUGCAUUGCAUUACAUUGAAUCAAGUCAUGGAACGACAAAGGGGAAAUAAUUGUUUUGAGCAGAAAGAAGAUGCAGUUCUCCUGCCAGUAUUCUGAGAGACUUCUGGCUGAGUAAAAAGGAAAGGAUUAGGCUUCAGAGUAUUCUAUUAUAAAUUUUGAAGAAUUUGUGUAUUUGUGAGAAAUAAAGUUAUACUUCCCGA